AGAGUUUGAUCCUGGCUCAGGAUGAACGCUAGCGACAGGCUUAACACAUGCAAGUCGAGGGGCAGCGGGGGGAGUAGCAAUACUCCCGCCGGCGACCGGCGCACGGGUGAGUAACACGUAUGAAACCUGCCCGUAGCAGGGGGAUAAGCGGAAGAAAUUCCGUCUAAUACCGCGUAACAACCCGAGGAGGCAUCUCCUCGGGUUUAAAGGAGGCGAUUCCGGCUACGGAUGGUCAUGCGUCGCAUUAGCUAGUUGGCGGGGUAACGGCCCACCAAGGCGACGAUGCGUAGGGGUUCUGAGAGGAAGGUCCCCCACACUGGUACUGAGACACGGACCAGACUCCUACGGGAGGCAGCAGUGAGGAAUAUUGGUCAAUGGCCGCAGGGCUGAACCAGCCAAGUCGCGUGAGGGAUGACGGUCCUAUGGAUUGUAAACCUCUUUUGUCAGGGAGCAAAGGACGCCACGUGUGGUGUUUUGCGAGUACCUGAAGAAAAAGCAUCGGCUAACUCCGUGCCAGCAGCCGCGGUAAUACGGAGGAUGCGAGCGUUAUCCGGAUUUAUUGGGUUUAAAGGGUGCGCAGGCGGAAUGUCAAGUCAGCGGUAAAAUUUCGGGGCUCAACCCCGUCGUGCCGUUGAAACUGGCGUUCUUGAGUGAGCGAGAAGUAUGCGGAAUGCGUGGUGUAGCGGUGAAAUGCAUAGAUAUCACGCAGAACUCCGAUUGCGAAGGCAGCAUACCGGUGCUCAACUGACGCUCAUGCACGAAAGCGUGGGUAUCGAACAGGAUUAGAUACCCUGGUAGUCCACGCAGUAAACGAUGAAUACUAACUGUCCGGGCCGAUUGAGGUCUGGGUGGUACAGCGAAAGCGUUAAGUAUUCCACCUGGGGAGUACGCCGGCAACGGUGAAACUCAAAGGAAUUGACGGGGGCCCGCACAAGCGGAGGAACAUGUGGUUUAAUUCGAUGAUACGCGAGGAACCUUACCCGGGCUCAAACGACGGAUGAAUGUUUCUGAAAGGAGGCAGCCCUUCGGGGCAUCCGUCGAGGUGCUGCAUGGUUGUCGUCAGCUCGUGCCGUGAGGUGUCGGCUUAAGUGCCAUAACGAGCGCAACCCCCAUCGCCAGUUACCAGCAAGUAAAGUUGGGGACUCUGGCGAGACUGCCGGCGCAAGCUGUGAGGAAGGCGGGGAUGACGUCAAAUCAGCACGGCCCUUACGUCCGGGGCGACACACGUGUUACAAUGGCAGGUACAGAGAGAUGCGAUGCGGCGACGCAGAGCGGAACUUCAAAGCCUGUCUCAGUUCGGAUUGGAGUCUGCAACCCGACUCCAUGAAGCUGGAUUCGCUAGUAAUCGCGCAUCAGCCACGGCGCGGUGAAUACGUUCCCGGGCCUUGUACACACCGCCCGUCAAGCCAUGGAAGCCGGGAGUGCCUGAAGUGUGCAACCGCAAGGAGCGCCCUAAGGUAAAACCGGUGACUGGGGCUAAGUCGUAACAAGGUAACCAA
rnacentral:rRNA from 1 species